rnacentral:rRNA from 1 species
GAUGAACGCUGGCGGCGUGCCUAAUACGUGCAAGUCGAGCGAACGGACGAGAAGCUUGCUUCUCUGAUGUUAGCGGCGGACGGGUGAGUAACACGUGGAUAACCUACCUAUAAGACUGGGAUAACUUCGGGAAACCGGAGCUAAUACCGGAUAAUAUUUUGAACCGCAUGGUUCAAAAGUGAAAGACGGUCUUGCUGUCACUUAUAGAUGGAUCCGCGCUGCAUUAGCUAGUUGGUAAGGUAACGGCUUACCAAGGCAACGAUGCAUAGCCGACCUGAGAGGGUGAUCGGCCACACUGGAACUGAGACACGGUCCAGACUCCUACGGGAGGCAGCAGUAGGGAAUCUUCCGCAAUGGGCGAAAGCCUGACGGAGCAACGCCGCGUGAGUGAUGAAGGUCUUCGGAUCGUAAAACUCUGUUAUUAGGGAAGAACAUAUGUGUAAGUAACUGUGCACAUCUUGACGGUACCUAAUCUGAAAGCCACGGCUAACUACGUG